rnacentral:rRNA from 1 species
AUUCCAGCUCCAAUAGCGUACACUAAAGUUGUUGCAGUUAAAAAGCUCGUAGUCUAAUGUAUGGGAGUUGCGGUGUGGGUGUUUCGUUGGUUUUGCCGGCUAGACAAGACUCGCUCCGCUUCCCGCGUUUUCCCUUUUUGUAAAAGAAGGGAUACUUCACUGUAAGUAAAACAACUCGCUCAACGGCAAGGUUAUCUUGAUAUGAAUUAGUAUGGGAUGAUGAGAUAGGCUCGGUCCGUAUUUUGUUGGUUUUAGUGGUCUGAGAAUGAUGAAGAGGGACAAUUGGGGGUAUUCGUAUUUACAUGUCAGAGGUGGAAUUCUUGGAUUUUGGAAAGACGAACUAAUGCGAAAGCAUCUACCAAAGAUGUUUUCAUUA